rnacentral:lncRNA from 1 species
CAUAAUAGAAACACAUAUAAUUGCGUCGGUCGCCUUGGAAUCCAUCCCAACAGGGGGUGGUUGGGGUCAAUUUCGUGGAAUAUCUCAUAGAUUACGUCGGGGUAAUAAGGAAUAUCCUUAUCCAGCCGACAAAACAUCCACUCGACUCUGUUCAUAGUAUCUUCAGAAACCUCGGGAAUAGAGUCGCCGGUAAUUUCAGACAAAAGUUCAGAUACCACCAGAUAAGCGUGGGAAGAAAACGUAUAAUCUUCGAAUCAGAGCGAAAACCGUUUCUUACUGAAGAACGUCUGAUUAACAAACCUCUAAGAUAUCCGGAGGAGACUUGAAUCAAGCUCCCAAAGAGCAACCCUUCA